GGUAACGCCCCGUACUGAGACGGUACUAGAAGGUAACACCCCGUACUGAGACGGUACUAGAAGGUAACACCCCGUACUGAGAAGGUAACACCCCGUACUGAGACGGUACUAGAAGGUAUCACCCCGUACUGAGACGGUACUAGAAGGUAACACCCCGUACUGAGACGGUACUAGAAGGUAACACCCCGUACUGAGACGGUACUAGAAGGUAACACCCCGUACUGAGACGGUACUAGAAGGUGACACCCGUACUGAGACGGUAACACCCCGUACUGAGACGGUACUAGAAGGUAACACCCCGUACUGAGACGGUACUAGAAGGUAACACCCCGUACUGAGAC